AAUAAGAUAAGCUAAGUUUAAGCUGUUGGGUUCAUACCCCAAAUAUGAAUGGAAUUUCUCUUAUUA
rnacentral:tRNA from 1 species